GCCUACGGGGCGCAGCAGUGGGGAAUAUUGCACAAUGGGGGAAACCCUGAUGCAGCGACGCCGCGUGAGUGAAGAAGUAUUUCGGUAUGUAAAGCUCUAUCAGCAGGGAAGAUAAUGACGGUACCUGACUAAGAAGCCCCGGCUAACUACGUGCCAGCAGCCGCGGUAAUACGUAGGGGGCAAGCGUUAUCCGGAUUUAUUGGGUUUAAAGGGUGCGUAGGCGGACAGUCAAGUCAGCGGUAAAAAUGCGGUGCUCAACGCCGUACAGCCGUUGAAACUGGCAGUCUUGAGUGGGCGAGAAGUAU
rnacentral:rRNA from 1 species